rnacentral:rRNA from 1 species
CAACCUACCUAUCAGAGGGGAAUAACCCGGCGAAAGUCGGACUAAUACCGCAUAAAACAGGGACACCGCAUGGUGAUAUUUGUUAAAGAAAUUCGCUGAUAGAUGGGCAUGCGUUCCAUUAGGUAGUUGGUGAGGUAACGGCUCACCAAGCCGACGAUGGAUAGGGGAACUGAGAGGUUGGUCCCCCACACUGGUACUGGGACACGGACCAGACUCCUACGGGAGGCAGCAGUGAGGAAUAUUGGUCAAUGGGCGAGAGCCUGAACCAGCCAAGUCGCGUGAAGGAAGAAGGAUCUAUGGUUCGUAAACUUCUUUUGCAGGGGAAUAAAGUGCAGGACGUGUCCUGUUUUGUAUGUACCCUGAGAAUAAGGAUCGGCUAACUCCGUGCCAGCAGCCGCGGUAAUACGGAGGAUCCGAGCGUUAUCCGGAUUUAUUGGGUUUAAAGGGUGCGUAGGUGGUUUGAUAAGUCAGCGGUGAAAGUUUGCAGCUUAACUGUAAAAAUGCCGUUGAAACUGUCGGACUUGAGUGUAAAUGAGGUAGGCGGAAUGCGUGGUGUAGCGGUGAAAUGCAUAGAUAUCACGAAGAACUCCGAUUG